rnacentral:rRNA from 1 species
UGGGGAAUAUUGCACAAUGGGCGCAAGCCUGAUGCAGCCAUGCCGCGUGUAUGAAGAAGGCCUUCGGGUUGUAAAGUACUUUCAGUCGGGAGGAAGGUGUCAAGGUUAAUAACCUUGGCAAUUGACGUUACCGACAGAAGAAGCACCGGCUAACUCCGUGCUAGCAGCCGCGGUAAUACGGAGGGUGCAAGCGUUAAUCGGAAUUACUGGGCGUAAAGCGCACGCAGGCGGUUGAUUGAGUCAGAUGUGAAAUCCCCGGGCUUAACCCGGGAAUUGCAUCUGAUACUGGUCAGCUAGAGUCUUGUAGAGGGGGGUAGAAUUCCAUGUGUAGCGGUGAAAUGCGUAGAGAUGUGAAGGAAUACCGGUGGCGAAGGCGGCCCCCUGGACGAAGACUGACACUCAGGUGCGAAAGCGUGGGGAGCAAGCAGG